rnacentral:rRNA from 1 species
UACGUAGGGUGCUAGCGUUGUCCGGAUUUAUUGGGCGUAAAGGGCUCGUAGGCGGCCUGUCGCGUCGGGAGUGAAAGCCCACUGCUUAACGGUGGGUCUGCUUUCGGUACGGGCGGGCUAGAGUAUGGCAGGGGAGACUGGAAUUCCUGGUGUAGCGGUGGAAUGCGCAGAUAUCAGGAGGAACACCGGUGGCGAAGGCGGGUCUCUGGGCCAUUACUGACGCUGAGGAGCGAAAGCGUGGGGAGCGAACAGG